rnacentral:tRNA from 1 species
GGUGUAGCUCAGUGGUGGAGUGCAUGCUUAGUGUGUAUGAUGUCCUGGCUUCAAUUCCCAGCUCCA